CAGGCCCCAGGCUCAGGGUCUGUGUUCUUGUUGGGGCUGGCUGUAGCCCUCAUCUCCCUCUGGUUGCAGUUAACAGGUUUGGAGUUCCCUGUUACAGGGGUAUAUAAGGAGAUGGGUGUCAUGAUGGUUACGUGAGAAUGACUAUGUGAUUACCAUAUUUUCUUGCAUUCAGCACACUUCUCCAAAUCAGCUGCUGGGAAUUGAGGUGUGCAUUAUAAGUGCGGAAAUGUGGUAAUGGCAGGUUCUAUAUCAUAAGCUUCUGUAGAAGAAAUUAUGCACAAUGAGCAGGCUGAGCUCCCUAGCUGCUACAGCCCAAUUACUUACUGCUACUUACCAGUAUUUAAGUUUUUCUUCAAACCAUUUCCCUACAACUGGGGGAGCUGGGGACUGAGCAAUGGGAAGGUCUUCCACAGCUAACAGUUCCUUCUGGGGAUGGAGCAGUGAGAAAAAGCUGGAGAGAGCCAGGGUUGUGAUGUCACAUGAACAGAAGGCUUCAGUAUGAAGAGCACCUUUUAAGGAGAGAAAAUUGCACAGGGCCUCAUUAGUGCUAUUAAA